rnacentral:tRNA from 1 species
GCAUCGCCUGGCGCGGUUGCGCUCGGCCGGGCCGGCGGGCGGCGUUCCGUCAGGUGUCUUGCGGUGCCGUGCGGGGCGGCACCGGCGCA